UACAGAGGUCUCAAGCGUUUGUUCGGAUUCAUUGGGCGUAAAGGGUGCGUAGGUGGCGCGCUAAGUCGGGUGUGAAAUUUCGAGGCUUAACCUCGAAACUGCAUUCGAUACUGGCGUGCUUGAGGACUGGAGAGGAGACUGGAAUUCAUGGUGUAGCAGUGAAAUGCGUAGAGAUCGUAAGGAAGGCCGGUGGCGAAGGCGAGUUCCUGGACAGUGACUGACGCUGAGGCACGAAGGCCAGGGGAGCAAACGGG
rnacentral:rRNA from 1 species